ACUGGUGGCCAUGGCGAGGACGUAACACCCGUUCCCAUCCCGAACACGGUCGUGAAGGGCCUCUGCGGCGAUGAUACUGCAUUCAAGAGUGCGGGAAAGUAGCUCGCUGCCAGUC
rnacentral:rRNA from 1 species